CGCGGUAAUACGUAGGUGGCAAGCGUUAUCCGGAAUCAUUGGGCGUAAAGGGUGCGUAGGCGGCUUAUUAAGUCUGUAGUGAAAUCGUAGAGCUCAACUCUAUCAAGCUACGGAAAUUGGUAAGCUAGAGUGCGGUAGAGGCUAGUGGAAUUCCAUGUGUAGCGGUAAAAUGCGUAGAUAUAUGGAGGAACACCGGUGGCGAAGGCGGCUAGCUGGGCCGUAACUGACGCUGAGGCACGAAAGCGUGGGGAGCAAAUAGGAUUAGAUACCCUAGUAGUCCACGCCGUAAACGAUGAAUACUAAGUGUUGGAGAAAUUCAGUGCUGCAGUUAACGCAAUAAGUAUUCCGCCUGGGGAGUAUGCACGCAAGUGUGAAACUCAAAGGAAUUGACGGGGACCCGCACAAGCGGUGGAUUAUGUGGUUUAAUUCGAUGCAACGCGAAGAACCUUACCAAGUCUUGACAUCCCUGGCGAAGGUGUAGAGAUACACUGGAGGAUAUCCGGGUGACAGGUGGUGCAUGGUUGUCGUCAGCUCGUGUCGUGAGAUGUUGGGUUAAGUCCCGCAACGAGCGCAACCCUUGUCUUCAGUUACCAGCAUUCAGUUGGGGACUCUGGAGAGACUGCCGGUGACAAACCGGAGGAAGGUGGGGAUGACGUCAAAUCAGCAUGCCCCUUAUGACUUGGGCUACACACGUAAUACAAUGGCGCACACAAAGGGAAGCAAUAGGGUGACCUGGAGCAAAUCUCAUAAAUUGCGUCUCAGUUCGGAUUAGAGUCUGCAACUCGACUCUAUGAAGUUGGAAUCGCUAGUAAUCGCGAAUCAGCACGUCGCGGUGAAUACGUUCUCGGGUCUUGUACACACCGCCCG
rnacentral:rRNA from 1 species